rnacentral:rRNA from 1 species
AUUGAACGCUGGCGGCAGGCCUAACACAUGCAAGUCGAACGGUAGCACAGAGAGCUUGCUCUCGGGUGACGAGUGGCGGACGGGUGAGUAACGUCUGGGAAACUGCCCGAUGGAGGGGGAUAACUACUGGAAACGGUAGCUAAUACCGCAUAACGUCGCAAGACCAAAGUGGGGGACCUUCGGGCCUCACACCAUCGGAUGUGCCCAGAUGGGAUUAGCUAGUAGGUGGGGUAAUGGCUCACCUAGGCGACGAUCCCUAGCUGGUCUGAGAGGAUGACCAGCCACACUGGAAAUGAGACACGGUCCAGACUCCUACGGGAGGGAGCAGUGGGGAAUAUUGCACAAUGGGCGCAAGCCUGAUGCAGCCAUGCCGCGUGUAUGAAGAAGGCCUUCGGGUUGUAAAGUACUUUCAGCGGGGAGGAAGGCGGUGGAGUUAAUAACUUCACCGAUUGACGUUACCCGCAGAAGAAGCACCGGCUAACUCCGUGCCAGCCGCCGCAGUAA